AUUGAACGCUGGCGGCAUGCCUUACACAUGCAAGUCGAACGCGAAAGCGGAGCAAUCCGCAAGUAGAGUGGCGAACGGGUGAGUAAUACAUCGGAACAUUUCCAGUAGCGGGGGAUAACCUGUCGAAAGAUAGGCUAAUACCGCAUACGCCCUACGGGGGAAAGCGGAGGACCGCAAGGCUUCGCAGUAUUGGAGUGGUCGAUAUAAGAUUAGCUAGUUGGUGGGGUAAAGGCCUACCAAGGCGACGAUCUUUAGCGGGUCUGAGAGGACGAUCCGCCACACUGGGACUGAGACACGGCCCAGACUCCUACGGGAGGCAGCAGUGGGGAAUUUUGGACAAUGGGGGCAACCCUGAUCCAGCAAUGCCGCGUGAGUGAAUAAGGCCUUCGGGUUGUAAAGCUCUUUUGUCGGGGAAGAAAGGUACGAUGAUAAUACCAUUGUGCGUUGACGGUACCCGAAGAAUAAGCACCGGCUAACUACGUGCCAGCCGCCGCCGUAA
rnacentral:rRNA from 1 species